AUCUUAGUACCCGGAGGAAGAAAAAGAAAAUUCGAUUCCCUUAGUAGCGGCGAGCGAAACGGGAAGAGCCCAAACCAACAAGCUUGCUUGUUGGGGUUGUAGGACACUCUAUACGGAGUUACAAAGGACGACAUUAGACGAAUCAUCUGGAAAGAUGAAUCAAAGAAGGUAAUAAUCCUGUAGUCGAAAAUGUUGUCUCUCUUGAGUGGAUCCUGAGUACGACGGAACACGUGAAAUUCCGUCGGAAUCUGGGAGGACCAUCUCCUAAGGCUAAAUACUCUCUAGUGACCGAUAGUGAACCAGUACCGUGAGGGAAAGGUGAAAAGCACCCCGGAAGGGGAGGGAAAUAGAACCUGA
rnacentral:rRNA from 1 species